GUCAUGUUCAUUGUUUGCUUGCUUGUUUCGUUGGUUUCCUGCCUUCCCGGCGGGGUCUUCCUCUGCCUCUGUCGCCCGGGAUCACCCCAGCCUCGACGAUUUCCACCGACCGUCCGACCGACUGGCCGUCCCGCGUCCCAUCCCUCCCGUCCCCGUUCCCUGGGACUACGGGUGGGCACCACCACACCGGGUGACUUUUAUGUUCUUUCUCAUGUCUCACGUUUUCCGUAGGUAGGGAGGCAGGUAUCUGUGUAUGUGUGGAUGUGAGUGAGAUGGGGUCUGGGGUUCUGUCGUGUGGCCCGGGCUGGUCUCGGACUCCUGUUCUCGAGCGAUCCGCCUGCCUGCCUCGGCCGCCCGCGCUGCUGCUGUGACAGGCGUGAGACGCUGCACCUGGCUCAUUCUAUAGUUGCCUGCCUGCCUGCCUGCCUGCCUGCCUGCCUGUCUGUCAAUCGUCUUCUUUUUAGUACGGGUGUGCUCUCGCUUUGUUGUCCACGCUCUGGGCACACGUGAUCGCUUUUUAAACUUCUAUGAUUAUUAUUAUUGCAGGUGUCGUCUCACACGUCGAGGUGAUCUCAAACGUCCACGCUCCGGCCAUCCUUCCACGUCGGCCUCCCGGAGUGCUGGGAUGACACGCGUGGGCACGACGGAGUUUCACUCUAGUCGCCCAGGGUGGACUACGAUGGCGUGAUCUCGGCUCGCUGCGACCUCCGCCUCCCGGGUUCGAGUGAUCCUCCUGCCUUGGCCUUCCUGAGGAGCUGGAAUGACGGGGAAGCGCCAUCGUGCCCGGCUGACUUUUAUAUUUUUAGUACAGAUGGGGUUUCUCCGUCUUGGUCAGCCUGGUCUUGAGCUUCCGACCGUUGGACGAUUUUAACUUUCUUGGUGGUUGCUUUUCUUUUUCUUUUUUCCUUUUCUUUUCUUUCCUUCUCCUCCCCCCACCCACUCCCCCUGUCCUCCUCGUCCUCCUCGUCCUCGUCCUCGUCCUCCUCCUCCUCCUCCUUUUUCAUCUCUUUCAGCUGGGCUCUCCUACUUGUGUUGCUCAGUUGCUCACGCUGGUCUCCAACUCCUGCCCUUGACGCUUCUCCCCUCACACCCACCGUCUGGUUGUUGAGAUGCGCACCUCUUGUAAAAUGGAAAAGAUGGAAAAAAUAAAGACGGAGGUGAAAA